CCUACGGGUGGCAGCAGUGAGGAAUAUUGGUCAAUGGGCGCGAGCCUGAACCAGCCAAGUAGCGUGAAGGAUGACUGCCCUACGGGUUGUAAACUUCUUUUAUAAGGGAAUAAAGUGCGGGACGUGUCCCGUUUUGUAUGUACCUUAUGACUAAGGAUCGGCUAACUCCGUGCCAGCAGCCGCGGUAAUACGGAGGAUCCGAGCGUUAUCCGGAUUUUUUGGGUUUAAAGGGUGCGUAGGCGGCCUUUUAAGUCAGCGGUGAAAGUCUGUGGCUCAACCCUAGAAUUGCCGUUGAAACUGGGGAGCUUGAGUAUGUUUGAGGCAGGCGGAAUGCGUGGGGUAGCGGUGAAAUGCUUAGAUAUCACGCAGAACCCCGAUUGCGAAGGCAGCCUGCCAAGCCAUGACUGACGCUGAUGCACGAAAGCGUGGGGAUCAAACAGGAUUAGAUACCCUUGUAGUC
rnacentral:rRNA from 1 species